AGAGAAAGAGGGAGGCAGGCCUAACACAUGCAAGUCGAACGAACCUUUCGGGGUUAGUGGCGGACGGGUGAGUAACACGUGGGAACGUGCCUUUAGGUUCGGAAUAACUCAGGGAAACUUGUGCUAAUACCGAAUGUGCCCUUCGGGGGAAAGAUUUAUCGCCUUUAGAGCGGCCCGCGUCUGAUUAGCUAGUUGGUUGAGGUAAUGGCUCACCAAGGCGACGAUCAGUAGCUGGUCUGAGAGGAUGAUCAGCCACAUUGGGACUGAGACACGGCCCAAACUCCGACGGGAGGCAGCAGUGGGGAAUCUUGCGCAAUGGGCGAAAGCCUGACGCAGCCAUGCCGCGUGAAUGAUGAAGGUCUUAGGAUUGUAAAAUUCUUUCACCGGGGACGAUAAUGACGGUACCCGGAGAAGAAGCCCCGGCUAACUUCGUG
rnacentral:rRNA from 1 species